rnacentral:rRNA from 1 species
UACGUAGGGUGCAAGCGUUGUCCGGAAUUAUUGGGCGUAAAGAGCUCGUAGGCGGUUUGUCGCGUCUGGUGUGAAAAUCCAGGGCUUAACCCUGGACCUGCAUCGGGUACGGGCAGACUAGAGUGCGGUAGGGGAGAUCGGAAUUCCUGGUGUAGCGGUGAAAUGCGCAGAUAUCAGGAGGAACACCAAUUGCGAAGGCAGCUCGCUGGGACGUUACUGACGCUGAGACGCGAAAGCGUGGGGAGCAAACAGG